rnacentral:misc_RNA from 1 species
UAUGCGUUUUUAUUAGAUUAAAAUUAGGCAUUUAAAUUAGUGUUUAUGAGGUUGGUGUGUUUCUAAAAAACUAAAGAUUUAUCUAAUGACUUCAGAAGAAAUAAAUGAGGAUUUGUCUGGUCAUUUGUAUAUAAAGACAACAAACUCAAGUAAAAUCAAGAACAAUAAAAAACAAUAUUGUUGUCACUCCUUAAAAGACCCAAACAUGGUCAAACAAUGGGUAGAACUGAAUACUCAACACAAUGAACUUCACUGUUUUAAGAAUAAUAAAGAGAAGCAAAAUCCUAUAGAGAAAUUAGUUUUGCAUGGGGCUGGCAUUUCAUUUGGAAAAGCAAGUGAAAAUGAGUUCAUUAUCAAUAUUCGUGGCUGUGAGUACAAAUGUUAUGCAGAAAGCCAUAAGUUAAUGGUGAAGUGGACAAAUGUACUCAAAAAACAAAUUACAAUGAAGCCAUUAAACAGUGAAUCUAGAGCGUUAGAUGUAGUUCCUGAAGAUGAAAUCUUAGAAGUCAAAGAUAUUAAAGAAGAAAAUUUUAAAGUUGAAGACAAAAAAAAGCAAGGAAAUUUUUUUAAUCGUCUAUUUAAUCGGAUUUCAAUGCGAUCAACUCCAAAAAUCAACACACCUGAUACUAUCAGCAAAAAUAAAAAAGUUGUUAAACCUGCACCAUUGCGAACUGUUGUAGGAUCCAUGCAAGACAUAUCUAACAAACCAGUAACUUGUUCAACCUGUCAAAGUUUUCAAGCAAGAAAUAUUUAUCUAACAGAGCAAGUAUCACAUCUCAAUGAGGAUAUUGAGAACUUAAAAGAUCAAAUGCGUACUCAUGCUAGGUGUACUGGUAUCAUGGAAAGAAAACAAAUCCAUUUAAAAAUUGAAUUCGUACAAUUUCUGCAAAAUUCUCUAGUCAACGAUACCAAUUUAUAUGUAAGCGUAGCUGAUGUACCAAGCAGUCGAUUGGUUUUUAAGUUACUUCAAGAAGAACAUGCCAAAGACCAGAGUAUUCCUUGUUUCGAUAAUGAUUUCAUUACAAACCCGCAUGUAGAUCAUCUUGGUUUUCUUCAUUUAAAAAGUGAAGGACCAAUUGAAACAUUGUUAUAUCUCUGUGAAAUAUUAAAGUUUGCAAUGAGUUCACAAUUACAAGCAGAUGAUGAACAAUAUCAAAGGUGGUUACUCUUUAGUGCGCAUUCUAAAUCUAAAACUUAUAUUCUAGAUGAUCCUGACUUAGCUGAUUUGAUUCAAUAUGGAAUACCCCAUCAAUUUAGAGCACAAAUAUGGCAGCAGUUGAUUGAAAAUCAUGUUGCAAAUAUUCAAGUAGAAAAGGGUAGUGAUUAUUAUUUGAAGUUGGUUGACAGGUUGUCAGAUAUACAGAAAAUUGAAACAGAAGAUGAUGAGCCUAUUGAAAAACAGAUAAAAAUUGAUCUUCUGAGAACAAUGCCUAUGCAUCAAGACUUUAGAGCCCUUGAUCAGCCUAAGGUUGCCACAUUGCAUAGAAUUUUGAGAGCAUUUUUGCUACACAAUAAAGAUGUUGGGUACUGUCAGGGUAUGAACUUUAUGGUUGCAUUUGGAUUACUUUACCUAGAUGAAGAAACAACAUUUUGGUUGUUAGUUGCUAUUACAGAGGUAUAUUUUCCAAAGCAUCACUACAACUUAUAUCUUUCUGGAACACAAGCUAGUCAGAGAGUAUUUUCCCAUCUUUGUGAAGAAUUAAACCCUGAACUUAUUAGACAUUUGGAAAGUUUAAAUUGUGAACUGGCUCCAAUAACCUUUAAUUGGUUCAUGACAAUAUUUUUUGACGCUCUUCCAGUUAAUGUUGUAUUAAAUAUUUGGGAUUGCUUUUUGUUUUAUGGUCAUAAGAUUUUGUAUCCUUUUGCUCUAAGUUUAAUCAAGCUUCAAAAGAAAAAAAUUCUUUCUUGCAAAGAAACUUUAUCAGCAAUGAGAAAGCUCAAAGCAUUCGGAAAGAUGUUUUAUGACGUUGAGAGUUUAUUAAAGGAGGUUUUCGAUAGGAAUUUUGAAAAAGACUUUAACUUAUACAAUGAACUUUAUGUGAAGUAUUUAAAAGAUAUAGAGGAAGAAAGUUUGAAAAGAAAGUUAGAAGAUGAAGAAUACGAGAAAAAAAAGCAGAAGUUGAAAUUUACUCCAAAACCUAUGAUGGUUUCUGUAGCUGAAAAUUUGGAUGAAUUGGAUGAUGAUUUGAUAAUAAAAUGUGUUCAGUGUGAAGAGAAUCACAAUUAUGUAUGGAUACUGGGCACUUCAGACCUUAAAGGACAAGUGUUUGUUUUAAAUGUAUCUAGCCGAACUACAGUACCUAUCGAUUGGCAGGUAGAUUGCAGAUGCAUUGCAAUGUGCAGGCUUGAAACAUGUAAUAUUAUGUUGGUAUCCACCAUGAAAUCAAUGCUACAUGCUAUUGAUAUUGAAACAAAAAAAGAGAUUUGGAGUGUGCAGUUAGCUGGUUGUGCAUUAAGUAUUUCAUGUGACAUGCAUGGAAAUGUAGCAUUAACACUUAUGGAUGGUACAAUAGCUUUUUUUAAUUUAACGAGUCAGUCAGAUACCGAAGUUGAGCCAAGUUAUAUUGAUAUCAGCAGUUCACCUGUGUUCACUGGAUGCAUUGUUGGUGAUAGUUUUUGGUGUGGGGCUGCAAACAAAAUUGUUGUGAUGGAAAUGAAAACACUUGAAACAAAAAUAUCAUUACGUGUAUGUCCUAGAGAAAGACAUACAGUAUCACAAUUGGUAUUAACUGAUAUAGGGGUCUGGUGCUCAGUAAUUAGUUCUUCAGUUGUUCAUUUAUGGGAUAAAGUUAAUUAUUAUUGCUUACUUACUGUUGAUAUUUUGGUAGAAUGUGGACUGGCUUCUGAAAAGAAAACAAGUCAAAAAGGUGAUUUAGGAAUAACUACAAUAAUGGCUUUUCGUGAUAAGCUAUGGGUUGGAUUUGGAAAUGGUAGAUUUAUCAUCAAUGAUGUCUUUAUUAAAAAUACAGAAGAUGAUCUAAAUGAUGUCAUAUCUCAUUUUAAAAGCAUACCACAAAGUACUCUUGGUGUACCAACAGCUACUUCAAAACUUUCUGUUAAUACAUGUUGUCAUGAUAUUGAUGGUGACAAUGAGUUUUUAGAAGAAACCCGAAGUAGAUCACAAUCAACCAGUUAUAGAGAAUUUGGAGGUGUACGCUCUUCUCAAAUAGAUAUUGAUAGUCAUGUAGAAUAUUCAGUAAAAAUGAAUCAAAUACAAAGAGUUUCAGAGAACAGAGUGAGCUGUUUUAUCCCAUGCAGGAAUGACAAUCGAUUAGUUUUGAGUUGCAUGGGCGCAUUAAAUGACGAUUCUUCUGUUAUUCUUUGGUCUUCGGAAAAACAUGACGGUCGUGAAAUGUGGUUUGCGCAGACGGUUUCUUAUUCGUUAUGAUGACCUAAAACCCAACUUUUUCUAUAUUUCAAAGUUUGUUGCUCAUCAUUUAUGUGUCUGUAUAAUAUGCAUUAGAGGACAAUUGCUUUGUAAAAUUAUGUACAUGCACAAUUAUUUAAAAAAUUAUGAAAUUGAAAUUUUUUAUUUAUGUUUUUUUUUUCAUAAAUAUGUAAAAUAAAUUAUUUUAUAUGUUAGUCAUUUUAUUGACAUUUCUUUGUACAUGAUUUUUAAUGUUAAUUUCUUUACGUUUCUCAGUUUUUUAAAUUCUUUAAGC